CAUGCUGCCCUAUUCAAAUGCAUGGAAGCCGAUGUUUUCGCGCUCUGUUUAUUUUUUAUGCUGGGUAUGGCUUCCAGAAUUUUUUUUUAGCUUUCGGACGCAUAAAUACGACCAUUGUACGCCACCGGAAGUUCCUCGGGGGGCCGGGUUGCUGUGGUGGGCGGAGCGUGACCGGAGGGCUGCGCGCUUACCAUUCAUCCUGGGCUGACUUCUUCACCACUUUCCUACUUGGGCCGACAUCCUUCCCGCGAGCGUAUUUCGAAACCCUGACCGAUACAGAAGAGCGGCGGCGGCGGCAGCAGAAAACCCCGGAAACCCGAUGCGUUUGCUGUACGGACGCCGACGCCGACGGUGGCUUUUUGUAAAUUGUACGCAUCGCCCACAGGGCAGGGCGGAGGGUGGUGAAAUGUACUGGAGAACAAGGUUAGGUUGGAACACGCACGUAAUUUUGAAGUUCUUUACUAUGUGUUUGGAUUACAAGCAAGGGUGGGUCGAAUUUGACUACCCCUUGGUCUGUAGAUGAGACGGAACGUUACGAAGUUAUAGUUGAAACCAGACAGAUAUUCGGAGAAUGUGUUACGCCAUAUAAAGCAAGAGGGCAACAACUGUUAAUUUGAACGUUCGGAAACUGUCACACAAGGAGCAGUAUGUCCUGUCGCACUGUUAAUGUCAAUGUCAUUCUUUCCCUGUCUGAUUUAGUAUGUGCCUCGACCCACAUUCGAAGCACAUCAAAACAGUCUCUUGCGUCAAAACAGUUGUCAUUUAGGAGCCUCCACUGAUAAUUCAUAUGCUGUGAGUAAACAGCGUGCGUAGAAUUGAUCCACUGUACUGAACUGUCAAUACGAUGUGUCAUGCUAUGUGUUGCUUUAGAGUGUGUAAUGCUAAGGCUGAGACAUACACUGAAGGCAGGAACCCAAACAGGCUAUCUGUAUUUCAAUGCAAAAGUGAAGACCUUGUUGUACUUAUUAUAUCUCCAUACAGAUAAUAAGUACUUACAAAUGUCAGCACACACUAGUAGACAGGUCCCAAUAGUAUUAUACUCUAGGGAAUUUUUGUAAAUUUUGUUAUAUUUUGCAACAUCAACAACCGCAACAAACUUGCAGGCGAGUCAAUCGAACGACAGAUGUGGCGUGACUUGUAUUGAAGGAAAAUGAUAUUGUGUCAAAUAAAGAAUAAUGUAAUGAUUGGAUAUUUGUAAUAAAGACACAGAAAUUGUAAUCGA